AGCGAACGCUGGCGGCAGGCCUAACACAUGCAAGUCGAACGGCAGCACAGUAAGAGCUUGCUCUUACGGGUGGCGAGUGGCGGACGGGAGAGGAAUACAUCGGAAUCUACUUUUUCGGGGGGGAUAACGUAGGGAAACUUACGCUAAUACCGCAUACGACCUACGGGUGAAAGCAGGGGAUAUUCGGACCUUGCGCGAAUGAAUGAGCCGAUGUCGGAUUAGCUAGUUGGCGGGGUAAAGGCCAACCAAGGCGACGAUCCGUAGCUGGUCUGAGAGGAUGGUCAGCCACACUGGAACUGAGACACGGUCCAGACUCCUACGGGAGGCAGCAGUGGGGAAUAGGGGACAAUGGGCGCAAGCCUGAUCCAGCCGUACCGCGUGGGUGAAGAAGGCCUUCGGGUUGUAAAGCCCUUUUGUUGGGAGAGAAAAGCAGCAGGUUAAUACCCCGCUAGUCUGACGGUACCCAAAGAAUAAGCACCGGCUAACUUCGUG
rnacentral:rRNA from 1 species